AACUGCAGUUUCACCUGGAUUAGAUAUUGUAAUCUAAGUUUUGCAGUGAUCAGGGCUGGAAGCUAGCGCUGCCUCGCUGUAGGCUCCGAGGAGAAGCCUGCCAGCAGGGCUGCUGCUCAUGCCACAUAAACUUGUAGCGGUGACCCAGAUAACAUCGUGACCGACACAAGAGAAGGUUCCCCCUGUUCUUUUGCAGUAGGACUGGUUUCAUGGCUGGAGAAUGCUAAGUGGUUCUGCGGUGGCUUGAUGUGGGCUUGCUCAAACCAUAACAUGAGGCACCUCUGUUUGAAUGGAUGGUUCUGAGAAACUUUGGCCAAAGUGACUUACCACUGAUUGUGUAAGGCUGACAGAAUGAAUUGGACUUGGAGCUGUGUGCUGUGCCUGCUGCAGCUUUGUGACAAAGCAGUGUCUGUUUGCUGUGCUUUUAUCCUCGCUGAAAGGACAGUGAUUACUCUAUCAUGACGGGAUAAUUUUCAAAGAUUUUACUGGGGAUUAUUAGUUUUACUG